UACCGGCUGCUCGAGUGAUAACCACUAUUACUGGGUUUAAAGCGUCCGUAGCUUGAUUGUUAGGUCUCUUGGGAAAUCUUCACGCUCAACGUGAAGGCGUCUAAGAGAUACCGGCAAUCUUGGAACUGGGAGAGGUAAACCGUACUUCGGGGGUAGGAGUGAAAUCUUGUAAUCCUCGAGGGACGACCUAUGGCGAAGGCAGUUUACCAGAACAGCUUCGACAGUGAGGGACGAAAGCUGGGGGAGCAAA
rnacentral:rRNA from 2 species